CUCAACUCAUCUCAUCCACCCCACGAUUCACCUUGGGUCUCUAGGGUCCCAGGUUUGCCAUUUACCACCACGGGCAAGGGUAAUCAAGUUUUUAAAAUGAAAAUAAAGGAUUGCUGAAUAAAUGAACAACCAGAGAGGCGGCCACCAGCCAAGGACAAACAAAGCUGAAUCUGGAACACUGGCUUCCUGCUGUCCUCUCAGACUAAACGCAGACAAAUAAACGUCACCUUACCUACCCACCAGUGUCUCAGCAAGGAAGGAGAGAGAGAAGGAAACGUCACCUUACCUACCCACCAGUGUCUCAGCAAGGAAGGAGAGAGAGAAGGAGGUGAAAGUGCACUGAAGACCUAAUACACAAUGUAUACUUAAGCGGGACUGUCAGGGGACAAAGAACCAGAGCCAGUGGACAAAACCUCCGUUCCCAAACUCCAAGCCACCAAUGGAAGGCCUCACAUAGGAAGCUGUGGGUGGAAGAUGGUGCGUUUCUACUGCCUGGUGGUUUUAGAUCUCUAUCGCCUACUCAGAAUCUGAACCCUAGCCUGUGUGUGUGAGAGGCUGCACGUGCACAUACAAAAACAGCAAGGUAUCUACAAGGGGGGUCAGGAUUGCAGAGGGGCUACCUGUGUGAGCUCUGGAGCCCAACUGCCUGCCUGGGAAUCCCAGCUUACCCACUGACUAGCUGUGUGACUCAGGGCAAGUUCUUUAACCACUCUGUGCCUCUGUCUGCACCUCACUCUCCUUGCCCCUAAAACAGGGGUAAGCAAAGUACCCACCUCCCAGGAUUUUUGUGAGGCUAAAAUGAGAUAACACCUAGCACACUUGCCAGACAAGAAAAGUUCUAUUUUUCCCCAGCACAAUGUUAAUAGGGUUGCCUCUGGGAUUUUGUGUGCUUUUCUUUUUCUUCUUCAUUAAUUAAAUUUUCUACAUGAAUGUGCAUGCUUUAUUGUCAGCAAAGAAUAAAGCUUUUUUUUUUUUUUUUUUUUUGAUGGGGUAGGAAGAACAGCUCAGAAUCCCAAGUAACCCUUUCUUUUAAACACAGAGGAUGGAAGCAGCCCUCUCUCUGCUGGUCUAUUUUAGGAUCUUCUGGAUGGGCAAGGAGUUCUACUGCCCAAAGCAGCCCAACCUUUUCUGCUCCCUGAUUCCCAGCGUACCCCUUCCCCACCUCUGCCCAUCCAGAAAAACUCAAAUCUCACCUCCUCCAAGAAGCCCUCGCUGCUAGCUCAGCACCUCUCUUCCUCCUGGGGAACAAGGCCUUUCCUCACUCUGCCCUCCCCUAGCUGGCACUAUCCACUCCAGAGGUCUUGUACCGGUCUCUGUUCCAGGGGCAAGGGGUUUGCCAAGACCCCAGCACAGCGGUCUUGAGGGGCAGGGCCACCUUCCUUCCUAUGUCCUUUCAAAGCACUCGCUCUGCUUUUCUUCUUGGAACUUCGAUACAACCUUAUGAGAGGUGGACAUGGGUUCAGGGAAGAAAAGUGAUGAGCAGGUCACACUGCUGGACUUAACCCCAGUCUGACCAAG